rnacentral:sRNA from 1 species
UAUUUGCAUGGGUGUUUCGAGGAUAGAU